GAUGAACGCUGGCGGCGUGCCUAAUACAUGCAAGUCGAGCGAACAGAUAAGGAGCUUGCUCCUUUGACGUUAGCGGCGGACGGGUGAGUAACACGUGGGUAACCUACCUAUAAGACUGGGAUAACUUCGGGAAACCGGAGCUAAUACCGGAUAACAUUUGGAACCGCAUGGUUCUAAAGUGAAAGAUGGUUUUGCUAUCACUUAUAGAUGGACCCGCGCCGUAUUAGCUAGUUGGUAAGGUAACGGCGUACCAAGGCAACGAUACGUAGCCGACCUGAGAGGGUGGUCGGCCGCACGGGAACUGAGACACGGUCCAGAGUCCUACGGGAGGCAGCAGUAGGGAAUCUUCCGCAAUGGGCGAGAGCCUGACGGAGCAACGCCGCGUGAGUGAUGAAGGGGUUCGGCUCGUAAAACUCUGUUAUUAGGGAAGAACAAACGUGUAAGUAACUGUGCACGUCUUGACGGUACCUAAUCAGAAAGCCACGGCUAACUACGUG
rnacentral:rRNA from 1 species